ACAAAAGUCACGGGACUCAGACAGAGAGGAGACACGGAGCACGGAGCUAGUGGCAGAAAUUAGCUAAAACGUGAUAAAUUAUAGACAACAAGUGGAUAAAUCUUGGGUGUAACAGUUUGCAACAACCCCAAGUUCCAGGCUGGAUACAAAGUCACCUGUAGAGACUAGAAAGACCCCAAAGAGACUGCCGAGACCGUUAGCUUGUUAGCUGUUAGCUCCAACAAUCGGUCUAAAGGAGCUACUAUAGGAGGAUGUACUUGUUGAGCAGGAGGAACACAGAGGGGGGACAACAUGCAGCAAAGGGCCAUUUUUUGGACUUGAACCCUGGCCUCUGCGAUAAGGACUGGGACUAUAUGGAGCGCACGCUCAACCAGCUCUAUUGUGUCUCUGAGGAUCAAGCGUGGAGCAUGAGCGGGAAGCAGCACCACCAAACCAACUCCCAGAUGCACCACAGAGCAGCGUCUGAUAUUGCAAUGUGAAUUCCAAACAGCAUCUCACUCCAGCACUAAUGAAAAGCAAUAUGGAUUCACUAAAGGGGGCGCAGAGCUUAUCAUCAGCACAGGAUAUAUCCUAGAACCUAUCAGGUCACAAGUAUGCGGGAAAAUGCUAAUGCUCUUUAUGUCCAUUACCACCGCCUUGACCAGUUUGAUUGCAGGACCUGAUGAAUCCACCAGUCCAUUCAUUCACAUACGAGCGGCUUCCCGUCAUUGUGUCUGACAGGCAGAUGACAUCAGCAUGUCCUCGGGCACCACAGGGGAUGCGACAUUGCUUCCUCUUCAAGCAAAAUAAAGGAGGCCUUUGAUGGUAUCAUCUUGGAGACGCAGCCCCCCCCCACCACCACCACACUGUCACUGUCAUAGACAGGAGACUUUCAUUUCCCAGUAAUUGAGUUUCUGUCUCGCUCUUUGUGUUCAGAUGAAGAUCUGAUGAAGUCCCCCCUCCACAGAACCCCAUUUCCCCCCUUCUCCGUAUAGAAUACCACCAUCACCCCCCAAAAACGUGUUUGUGUCUACGUAUUUCCCAGU